rnacentral:lncRNA from 1 species
UCAACCACAAAUAUAUUUGUACUGAAUCAAUGAAAGAAGUUGUUUGGUUAGAGUGGUGAACAAGACUCUCUAAAGUAUUUAUGAUUCAAAGACCGCUGACUAUAAUAAAUAAUAACUUGCAUCACGAAACAAAGGAUAACAAACGCUGGUGUUCAAUGCAUCUAUUCGAUAUAUGAUCGCGUAUGGACUAAAUAAAGUUAUUGAAAGGUUGGCACAUCUAUGCAUCAUGCAAUUUUUUUUGGUGUGGCAAAACUCUUCAAUUUGCAGAUUUAAUGAAAUUUUGGGCUGUUGAGAGUCUUUGGAGAUUGGUUUUCAAAUC